rnacentral:rRNA from 1 species
GGUAACAUCAAAUCGUACCCCAAACCGACACAGGUGGUCAGGUAGAGAAUACCAAGGCGCUUGAGAGAACUCGGGUGAAGGAACUAGGCAAAAUGGUGCCGUAACUUCGGGAGAAGGCACGCUGAUACGUAGGUGAAGCGACUUGCUCGUGGAGCUGAAAUCAGUCGAAGAUACCAGCUGGCUGCAACUGUUUAUUAAAAACACAGCACUGUGCAAACACGAAAGUGGACGUAUACGGUGUGACGCCUGCCCGGU